UGACAUUAGUAUAUGUUUUGUGUGUAGGU
rnacentral:piRNA from 1 species